rfam:Triticum aestivum genome assembly, contig: Triticum_aestivum_CS42_TGACv1_scaffold_225473_3B
UAUAUACUCCCUCCGUCCGAAAAUACUUGUCAUCAAAAUGGAUAAAAAGGGAUGUAUCUAGAAGUAAUAUACAUCUAGAUACAUCAUCUUUUAUUCAUUUUGAUGACAAGUAUUUCCGGAUCGGAGGGAGGAUUAU